rnacentral:rRNA from 1 species
AUGACCGUGAAUGAUGGACAUGAUUCAGCCUGGCAAUAUCACCAGAACAAUAUUGCGACGGGUGCUAUGUAUCCGAACAAGCAAGCCCUGAAGGAUGCAAUAAUUAAUUGGGCAAUGUCCACGCAAAGGGUUUUCAAAGCUGAGGUGUCCAGUCAGAAAUUCCUGACAAUGGUAUGUAAGAACGCAGAUUGUCCCGCAAGGGUGCACGGCUUUCUCCCUAAGUAUGGCACAAGUUGGGUGAUAAGUGACUUAGUUAAUCACACUUGUCUUAUUCCCAGCAUCCCUCAAGAUCAUGCCAACCUUUCAUCCACGCUUAUUGCUCGAUUGUUUUACGAUGAGAUAGUGCAAGGCAAAGCUAUGGAAGUGAAGGCAGUCCAGACAAAAGUCUUCGCCAGGUUGAAGUUCAGAAUUUCUUAUGGCAAGGCUUGGAGGGCUAAGCAUGCAGCGCUUGAGAGGAGAUUUGGUUCUUAUUUUGAUGCAUAUGACUCUGUUGUCCACCUCCUCCACACCCUGCAGCAGCGGAAUCCAGGCACCUAUAUCGAUAUCCAAGACAUGUUCAUGCCAGAGUUCCCAACUGUGAGGGUGUUGCAUCGUCUCUUCUUCUCUUUCGGUGUAUGCAUCGAAGCUUUCAGGCAUUGCCGACCGGUGAUAUGUGUUGACGGUACUUUUCUCACAGGCAAGUACAAGGGUCAGAUCGUGAAGUGGAUUUCACUUUUGAUUGGUUGA